GCAGGUAUCGUAUAAUGGCUAUUACCUCAGCCUUACAGGUUGGUGAUGUGGGUUCGAUUCCCGCUACUUGCCCCA
rnacentral:tRNA from 1 species